CCAUUAAUGCAAGACAUUUACUACAUGGUUGUGAAAAAGUGGUUGCUGGAAAAUAAUGACCCACGUCAAGGAAAGAGGAGGAGAGAGGGUUGCAGAAAGUAUAAUUCACUAAUCGUUUGCCCAUUUAUUGAUUCUCUUCCCAUUUUAUCAAUGAAAAAUUCUGUUCGAAGGAAAUUGAUGAUAGUGAAGCCUCACAGAAAUUGAGCAGCGGGUUAAAAAUGCAAGCAGCUGGAAUCUGAGGAAAGAACACACACAUAGUUCUUCGGAUGGCCUGGCCUGGUGUCCCUGUGUGACUCCUAAGGACAUCCUGUGGCUCUUAAAACCCCCUGACCUUCUCGGAUCUGUGAAGGCACAGACCUGUGUUUCAUUUCUGUGCUUCUAGUAAAAUAUUCACCCCCAACGGCACACGUUUGUUUCUGGUGAUGGUGCGUGUGAUUAGUGACAUUGUAUUUUAAGAAUGGGCCGUAGCGCUGUUGGAUCCAGUUUCUGUCGUGAAGGUUGUGAAUGUAAAGAAAAUACUGAGACGGCAUCCAGUUAAUAUUCAAGGCUGCUUACGUGGGACAAUACAACGGCGCUUUUAAGUGUGUUAUUGGGUCUUUAUGGAGAUUGGUUUUCUGGGGUUGUGACUGAAAUUUUCUUUGCAAGAGGCUUAUUUGGAAGGGAAGCCAGGAAAUUAUGGCUGUAUCUCUCUGUUCUACCCAAGGAUGAUGGUUCAUCUGUUUUAUAAAUACUUGUGGAGCGUUUGCUCCAGGCUGGGUCCUGGGGGUGCAGCUGUGAGCCAGGUAGAUGGGCCUGCCCUCUCCGGCUCACGGUCCGGCAGGACAGCCAGCCCUCUGCCCUUGGUGACCCACGGGCUGCAACAGGGACAGCACGGCCCCGGGGAGAGGAGCUUGUAAUAACGCCACCUACAAGGGAAAUGGCACCUGUGUCUGCCUUCUGCGGUGACCUCACCCACAGCACGAGCUGCUCACGGUGAACAGGCUGCCCCCCGCGCCCCCCCCCCCCGACGUGUCACAGGAGGUAGGUACAGUCAGGGCUGAAGGUGUCGGGCUCCCAGCAGGAUGCAUAAGACUCGCUGCAAGGGCUGGGGACAGGGCCGUGGUGACCACGUAGGUAAAACCUCGCCAGGAGUGUCCAACCUCCUGGUCCAGGGACCGGCUCCUUACGGUUUUACUAUCUAAUGCAUAGUGUAAACCCUCUUUCUCUCUCAAGAUUUCUUUCAGUUUAUUCUAAAUUAUCCCUCGAAACUAACACGUGUCCCCAGUUCUAGAAUCUGAAGCUUUGUAACGAGUCCGCGCUCUGGAUUUCCUCACAACCGCCGUGGGCUGAGCUCAGGCUUCUCUGGAGCCCGUCCUUUCCGUGUGACGUUCCCACCAGGUUAGCCUGGCCUCGCGGCCCCUUCCGGAGGAUGAGGCCGGAAUGAAUUACAUUUAUUAGACACAGGUAUUUAAAAUAAUAGACACUGAUUUUACAUAAUUUCGCAUAAGUACACGCGAGCCGUGGAUGCAUUUUUAGAGCAAGAUUUUUUAAAAUAUCAAACUGAGGUAUACAGAGUAAGCCCCCUUUUGAUCAGACAGGAAGUGAUAAAUCAGUCUUCACGGAUCCAGCCUGGUUAGGCUUCUCUGUGCUUCAGGAUCUUUUUCUCACGGGAAGACUGGCUUCUGCUUUUCAGGAUUUUCUUUGCCCCACAGCCUUUGACUGUGAACAGUCAGGAAGAAUAUUCUGUUUGUGGGUUUCCAGGAGUCUGUGCAUCUUUUUGGCUUUGCAUCAGAUCCCCGAUUGCCUAAGCGUUAGAAUCCGCUGGUGAUGCAAAGUCCAAUCCAACUGGCUUGAACCAAAAAAAAAAAACAAGAAAAGGAAAUUUGUGGGGCUCGCAAACUGGAAACUCGAGAACACCGUGAUUCUGAGCUCAGACACACACGCUUCCGUCCAGGCUCCUUCCCGGGCCCUGAGUGGUGGCCCCAAUCCAGUUUCAGGUCACCAUACACCCAGUCGGGCAGGAGAGAGGGUCCUUGCCCCCACCUGCCCUGUCAUCUGUCUGUGUCCCCGGGGGCGGGUUGGGGUGGAUGGAUUCUCCCUGUAGACAGGCACGUGUCAGGCAGGCCUGUACUGUCUGCAGCCCCCCCCCCCCCCCCCCCCCCGCUGAGGGUUCCAGCAGCUGCUCAGCCGUUUCUGGAGCAGGACAGACUGCCCCCCGAACCUGCAGAAAUCCUCCCUGUGACCAGCGUGUGGAUGCGGGAGGGGGGUGCGGGGUCCCCGUGCGGUUCCCGUCCCUGGAAUUCAUCGCAUGCCUUGGCCUGCCAGGCCCUCCCGAAUCACCAGAAGGUGCCGGUCUUCCCACACGCCCUGGAGAACAAACAGGCAGGUUGAAGUCACAUCUGUCGGGUUUCCAGGAAACAGCACGGGGCUAACAAACCCCGCUGAGGGGCAGAAAUAAUGCUGUGCUGUGUCAUUUCUCUGCUGUGGCCUCGCUGACCUGGAAAGGCUGCCGGGCCCGGUGGCUACAGGGGCACAGGUGAAAGGGGUGUGCCCUGUGACUUGCUGGGCUGUGGGGCACGGGCCAGGGCCGCCCUCACCGAAGGGCGUGUCACACUGGGAGUGCGGCCGGCUGGGGCCUCACCUCCUUUUAGGCAAAUGGAAUCUGUCCCUUGCAGAGCUGGGCCUUUCUCUGUGUGAUCGUAUGCCACAUGGCGGGAGGGCGACCUCAGCCCUCGGGAAGGUCCCUCCGCUUCCAAGGGGAGAGCUUGGGUUUAUGGAAUUUCCAGCUUCUGGUGCUUCGCACCAAGUCACAACCCGAGUCACAGGGUGGCUGGACACGGGCCGCAUCGCCCUCCUUCCUGAGGGCCAGGGGUCAGGCUUUCCCGGCAAGGCGCUGGUGAGCGACGCUGUUCUUUAUGCCCGAGGGAUGCACCCAGUGGCUGUCCUCGGGCACUGACUGGCUAGGUCUCUGGGGAGAUGACCGUGUGCUCCUGGGGACAACGGCGGGACAGAGAAAAGAGGCAGCAGGAGGACAUGCCGGGAGGGUAGGGCCCUGGUGAAGCAGAAGGAAGGCACUGGGUGUCUGGGGAAGAGGAAGGAAGGGCCUGUGUGGGGCUCGGGCAGGGGGUCGCAGGUGUGUGUGUGUGUGUGUGUGUGUGUGUGUGUGCGCGCGCGCGCACGUGGGGAGGGGGACAUGGGGCCUCAGAGUCCACGAUGAGGGCUCGGUGAGUCCCAGGCCGCGUUAACCUGCCAGGAAACAGGCUGCAGAGGAGUCGGGGCGGGCAGGCAGCCGGCUGGAGGCCUGUGUGCCCAGUGCACAAAUGUCACAGGAGCCUGGGAAAGUCGGGGUAGGUGGAACCAGGAUCCGUAGGGGAAGAGAGCCGGGGAGGGGAUGCCCUGUGCCCCAGCACCUCUGAUGGCGCCGGGCGGGUCCCCCUGCUCUGCCCCAGCCCCCCGUGCUGCUUUCGACUGCACCUGCACCUCUUCCCCCCGCCUGUUUCUUCCACGAACGUUCCACCUGUCCCAGCUGCCUUUACCUGCACAGGUAGCAGGUGGGAGGCCAGAGCUGCUGGGAGCACAGAGCCGGAGGAGGCUCGCGGCAGGUCGGGCAGCAGCUGGGAGUCCGCAGUCACCAGCCACAUGGCCGGGUGCUUUGUCUGUCACCUUCUCGGGCAGAGGUCCCUGCCCCCUGGUGUCAUGCAUGCAAGGGGCCUGGCACUUUCUGGCAGAAAUGCUGUGGGAAUGUAAGCCAUCGUUAGCCUUUUCUGUGCUCGGGACGGGGCCAGUACCGAGGGCGUAGGGGUGACACAGCGGGAAAGCUUGAAGGCCAGCCGGGCUCGCUCGCGGGACCGGAGGCCUUACUGCUGAGGCUUCCUUCACGGGGCAUCACUGUCCACCUAGCUUUUCGUCUGUGUCUGCGUUAGCUCAGGGCUCCUGCCCUGCCCACCCGGGCCUCGCUCUCCCCUGGACGGAAAGCCGUGUGUCCGGUUCCCUGCCUGUCUCUAAGGAUAGUUCCCGCACCGAUGAGCGUCCACAGGUCACGGCAGCCCCCGACGUUUCAUCCGCCUCUGCCUUUUCCCAUCGGCCACACUCCGGAGGUCCCUGCGUCAGGCACCGGGGCUCCCUCUUGCUUGGGGGGCGGGCUGUCUUCAAGGUCGCCCCGCGGAGGCAGGGCUGUUCCGCCCUUGGUGCGAUCACUUGUGCUUGAAGCAAAGAAUCCCGGCGAGGUGGGACCCUAACCUCAGAGGCAGCGCGAGCUCGCCCCAGGGUGUGCCUGCUGGCACGUCUUCGUGCACAGGUAUGUCACUUCGAGAGAUGGUUUGCUGAGUGUAAGGGCGCCCAGGGUCCCGGGGACGGGUGUCAGCAGGAGCUGUUGUAGGGCGUCCUCAGCGGGCACAGGCGUGAACCCGACGGCCACCGACCUCGUGGGACUGCGGUGGAGUGCUCGGAACGGCCUUGGAUCAGGCAGCGUCGGCUGUGGGUACCCCAGACCUAAACGGGGCUUGGGCUCGGAGGGCCAGUUUGCGUGUGGUCGCACAAACGGCAGGUCCCCGAACUCUGAGGAGAGCCCCUGCCCAGACCGAGGACCCUCGUGUCCUGCGGCCGCCCCUCCUGCUGUCCCGCUCGCGUUCGGAGCUAUGUGUGCUCGGAGAUCGCUGGGCUCCUUGCCAGAACGACCAUCUACAGAAAGUUGUAGGGCCAGAGUCAGCAGGGCAGGAAGAGGGAGCGUCAACGGCCACGGCAUGGACAAUCUAGAGGCCGAGGCAGACCGCCAGCUAUGGCUCGAGGGGCUCAGGGCUGGCGGCAAUGCACCGUGCCAGGUUGAGUUCUGCACCUCCCGGGCAGUCCUGGCGGUGCCUUCAACGUGCCCUUUGACCUGGCGGCUGUCUUCAAAUUAGUUUCUCUUUCCUGAGCCACGGGCUGUCGGAAGACGAGGGAUAACUCCGCGACUGAAACAGCGACACGCGGCAGUGUUUCUGGCUGGUCUGAAGUCGCCUGGGCGUGGGCUACAGGCUGUGGGGCUGCGGUGGACACAGUGUCACCCCCAGAGCUGCAGACGUGUGUCCCAUGUUCCUGCUGGGGUGCUGCCCUUGUCCCCCCUACUCUCUGAACGAACGCUGGGUAGAACCAGCGUUUGGAUCCAGUCCUCAUGUCCCCAAAAUUCACAUGUCCGAGUCCAACCCCCAGGACCUCAAAGAGUGACUGUAUUUGGAGACAGGUUUUUACUUUUUACUCUUUAAAAAAAAUUUUUUUUAAUAUUUGUUUAUUUUUGAGAGGGGAGGAGAGGCAGAGAGAGAGACACACAGAAUCCGAAGCAGGAUCCAGGCUCUGAGCUGUCAGCACAGGACCCGACGCAGGGCUCGAACUCACAGACUGUGAGAUCAUGACCUGAGCCGAAGCCGGAGGCUCAACCGACUGAGCCACCCGGGUUCCCCAAUUUUUUACUCUUUUAAGUUUAUUUAUUUAUUUUGAAGAGAGCAAGGGAGUGCCUACAAGCAGGGGAGGGGCAGAGAGAGGAGAGAGAGAAUCCCAAGCAGGCUCUGCACUGUCAGGACAGAGCCUGAUGUGGGGUUCAAUCCCGGGAACUGUGAGAUCACGACUGAAGCUGAAAUCAAGAGUCGGACACUUAAUCGACUGAGCUACUCAGGUGCCUCUGGAGACAGGGCCUUUAAAAAGGGGAUUAGAUGGGGGGGCGCCUGGGUGGCUCAGUGGAUUGAGCGUCCGACUUCGGCUCAGGCCGUGAUCUCACAGUUCGUGGAUUUGAGCCUCACGUCAGUCUCGUGCUGACAGCUCGGAGCCUGGAGCCUGCUUCGGAUUCUGUGUCUCCCUCUCUCUCUGCCUUUCCCCUCCUUGUGCUCUGUCUCUCUC